rnacentral:rRNA from 1 species
AGCGAACGCUGGCGGCAGGCCUAACACAUGCAAGUCGAACGGAUCCUUCGGGAUUGGUGGCGGACGGGUGAGUAACACGUGGGAACGUGCCCUUUGGUUCGGAACAACUCAGGGAAACUUGAGCUAAUACCGGAUGUGCCCUUCGGGGGAAAGAUUUAUCGCCAUUGGAGCGGCCCGCGUCUGAUUAGCUAGUUGGUGAGGUAAAGGCUCACCAAGGCGACGAUCAGUAGCUGGUCUGAGAGGAUGAUCAGCCACACUGGGACUGAGACACGGCCCAAACUCCUACGGGAGGCAGCAGUGGGGAAUCUUGCGCAAUGGGCGAAAGCCUGACGCAGCCAUGCCGCGUGAAUGAUGAAGGUCUUAGGAUUGUAAAAUUCUUUCACCGGGGACGAUAAUGACGGUACCCGGAGAAAAAGCCCCGGCUAACUUCGUGCCAGCCGCCGCGGUAACAC